AUGCAAAUGGCCCCUUGCAGCUGUCUCUCACCAGGCAAAGAAGGCAGCACCACCACUGUUGCACAAUGUUCUCCUAAUUCCCCUCUGGUGAAGUGGCACCCCAUGAUAAACAUCUUUGGGAGCAAGCACGCAGGCAGAAAAUGGCUAAUUGGUCUGAGAUCAACUCACACCCAGAGGUGCUGGAUACCAUCAAGAGUGAACAAGGUGAUUAAGAAGAGCAAAACCAAAAAAAAUAGUCUGGUCCCUCAGGGUCUCCAGUCCCACCUGCCUUCUGCACCUCUCCUCCACCUUCUGCACCAGCUCAGAACUGAAAGGUGA
rnacentral:lncRNA from 1 species